rnacentral:lncRNA from 1 species
UAUGCUUUUAAUUUUAAUAAUGCUUUUUUUAUUAAAUUGGGUAAUUAUUUCACAGAACAUAUAGAUUUUAAAAAUAGCCAAACAAGUGAUAACAUAUGCGACGACAUUAGCAACAACAUGAGCGACACCAUGACCGACCAAGCUGUAGAACACGCAAACUCUCACUAUUCAAAAGAAAACAAUGUAACAAUAAAUAAUAAUCCAUAUACAAUACCUAAAAGUAAAAAUGUAUUUUUUUUUCAUAAAAAUUAUGAACAUUACAUAAAUUACAUAAUUAAUCAUAAAAAAUUAGAACAUUUACCUAUAUUAUAUUCUAGUCCUUCUUUUUUUCUUUUUAAUAACACAAAUUUUGAAAACAUAAUAUGUUUCAGAAAACACAUGAUUCAUGAAAUUAUUAACUUAUAUAAAACAGAUGAGAAUCAAAAUGACUUUUUUUCUAUAGACCUCAAUACCAUAAACCAAAUUUUAUUUACUAAUAAUAAAUAUUAUUUACAAAUUGAAAAACAUUUAUACGAUAAUAAUAUUAUGAACAAAAAUGGGCAGGAAUAUUUUUUUCAAAAUGGAAAGUAUAAUUUGGCUGAGCUGAACGACUUGUAUCUUUUUGUUUUACUUACUAAACAAACAUGUGAUAUGUCAAAUAUGGAUGAUAUAAAAUAUGAUAUAAACGUUACUUCCACUACUGCUGCUACUCCCAUUACCAACAACAACAACAAUCAUAACGAUAUGCCUUUUAAAACCGAUAAAAACCAUAUCACACAUACAAGUGACAACCUUCAACACAUCUUCAACUCAGCUAUUUAUAACUCUUCCAUAUUUAAAGAAUUUGAUAAUUUUUUUAAUUAUGAUUUUUUAAUGCAUAUAUAUUCUUAUGUGUCUUCUCACGCUAUCAAAAUGAAAACGAAUUCGCAAAAUCGCGUAAGUGAAAGAAAUCAAGAAAAAAAUGAGCCAGAGCAAACACAAGAACCUGCGCAAACACAAGCAGGCAAUUACAACCUAAAAGACAAAAUCAUAAACAGUAACAUAAAAAUAAAAAAUGAAAAAGAACGAAUCGAAAAAGUUAGCACAAAAGAAUGUUCAAAUUACAACUUUGAUGAAUAUGAAAAAAAAGAAAAAGAAAAUGAAAAUAAUUGUAUGUGCUUAAUACCGUUGUUAGAUAUAUGUAAUCAUAGUAAUAAUAACAUGAAUGCUUUUAUUAAAAAAAAAAAAAAAAGAAAAAGAAUUUAAACAAUAUAAACAAACUCGUGUAAACAUUAGUGUGCACAAUACUUCUAAUGGCGAUUAUAAUGAUACGCUUGAGUCGUUUGUUCAAACUGUAGAUAGUGUUCAACUAAUUAG